UUUUAAAAUAACAAACAAAAGAAUACAAAUGUAAUGAUAAAAUAAUUUAAUUUUCUUUCCUUCCUCCGUACCAAACAACAAAUGGAAAAAAGUCAUAAAUUUUUUAUCUCCCUUUUAUUUUUUCCUUCCAUUCUAAUCUCUUUCCUCCUUGCCACACAUACAAACAUAGCGUUAGAAACGCAAGUCGUAUAUAUAUUAUCAAAUAUCUGCAGUUGACUAGAGAGGUCAACCUUCACUUCAGAGACUCUGCUCCAGUUACUCCCUUCUUCUUCGUGGAACCAAUGCUUGUCUCAACAACUUUCGGGCUCCAUCACCUCAGGAAAAUAGCUUUAGAGGCGGUAAGAUUCGUGGACGGUUAGAGAAUGUGUAUCGGUGAUGAACGGAUUCAAGGAGUCGAGAGUUUGAUUUCGAGGAUGUAGUCGUUUACUUAUGGUCUUUAUAUGUAUUUUCCGCACUUACUAUGUAACCCCUUUAUUUUUAAAUCAUGUUAUGUUUUUUUUUUUUCAAACAAUGAAAUCCCAUAUCCUUCUUGAUAUUUUGUAAGUAGCUCUUAUUUUUACAAGUUAUUUAAUAAAAUUAUGGUAUUUUCGCAAA